UAAUGGCAAAUUCAUCAUAUAGAUUCUCAAAACUGCUUGUUUGAUCGACACGCCCUCACUCCACUUGUUUAAUUACUUGCAGCUCCAUCUUUUCUUUAGGAAUGGAUUAGGGACUGGACAACUGUACUUGCAGCUCCAUCUUUUCUUUAGGAAUGGAUUAGGGACUGGACAACUGUACUUAUCCUUUGUGGGAUCUAGGUCUACUUCCUUUCUAGCGGAGGAUUAAGCAGUAGAUAAUAAUACCCAAGCAUGAGAACUCGGAUACUAUAUCAUUGUAGAUAAGCCUAUCAUCCCUGAUUAAGCAGUAGAGAAUACCCAAGCAUGGGAACUCGGAUACUAUAUCAUUGUAGAUAAGCCUAUCAUCCCUCGUUCCAUGGUGGAGUGAUUUUAUACCUUUCUCAGUUCGAUAAAAGUAGCCAUCAAGUUCCAAAAUCCGGGGAAUCCAUUUAUUCUUUAGUAAGGCCUGUGGUAGGGCAAGGCAAUCAGUAGUUCCUGUUCCUUAAGUGAGGGUCGAUAUAAUUGUUUAUUACUCGUAAUAGAAGGGUGUGAUAACAAUUUGUUCUGCAUAAAUUCCUUUUCUUUUGGAAGUGGAAAGCUCGAAAGAAAGUCCGAAUGUAUUGUACCCUGAGCACCUGCUCUUGUUGCGAGGUUCCUGACGUUUCAAUAUGAACAAGCCAUCACCUGUUAACGUCCAGUGGGUCUCAAGCCCUUACUCCAUUAUCCCGUAAACUACCUAUUGCCCUAGAUGUCAGAGUUUUUAGAGUUCGAGGCAUAGCCCGGGCCCGGGUGCUUUUCUCGAAGCUGGAAUUCCAUUCAAAAAGGCUUUCAGCACCUCUGAGGGAGGGUCACAUCACAGGGAAUGCAGAAAGACAGGAAUCGUUUUGACAGCUUUUAAGGGAUUGCUUUUGGAUAAGGGAAGUCGGGAAGUGAGGAAGCCACCCCAAAAGUACUCCUAUUGUUGGAGUUAGUCUAGUUAAACAGGAUUAGUGAUGAGAAGGAUAUUACUGAAUUUGGAAUCUAAGCUUCCGCCCUAACGCCUGUUGAAGUACCAGGGUCGAGUCGAUGGUAAGUGGUAAUUUAUGGGCUACAUGCAUAUUGAACAGUGGGAACUGUAAACGGAAUUGAUAGCUUAGACAAUAACACUAACUUUAGCUGGCUGCCUUUAGGAUCGUACCUAGGGCACAGGCUUGCAGAACUUUAUUGCUAUCUUUACUAUCGCACGGGCAACAGCUAUCCACACUAAACAAGGGCGUGUCAGCGGCAGGCAAGAAGUGGAAAAGGUAGACCGCUUUAAUAUGGCCCUUUACUCUAUCAAGCUCUUUUGCCAUACUCUCGAGGCACUUACUAAGAGACGCAGCAAAAGAAUCAAAUCAUAGGAAAGUGCUAACCAUGCUAAGACCGUUUACGCCGACAACAGCUUUCUUGGAUGAUCCUUCACUAAUAAUGCUUCAUGAUAGAGACAUGGAAUUGGAAUCGGAUCCAACAUGUGCAGAAAAAGCCUAUGAUUCAGAAAUGGCCCUAUACCAAGCCCUUGUUUAGAAAGUGCAAUUAUUCCCUUCCUAAAAACCCGUAUUGCAUUUGUCCUUAAUAGAGCAUUUAUCCCACUAAGCACUCUCGUUCUAGCUUUCGCUUUCCUUUCAGUUGGAUUGCAUCCAUCUUUCUCCGCUUUCAUGGUUUUCGCCUAGCCCUCUCUGCUUGCUUUAGAGUAGAGCACGGCAAAAGCCUUCCGUGCCACAAGGACAAGUGGCAACUAGGUUAAUUGGGAAGAAACCUAUCUCUGGUUGUGGGAAAGGCUCGUUGAGACCUUUACGCCGACAUGAAAUCGAUUUGCUUUGGCUGGUAGCUGUGCCAAGGCAAGUCUAUUUAUAUUUACUUGUUUUCUCGAAUCAUCUACUAAUCACACGUUUUGAAUCGAUCUAACUGCUUAGCUUAUCUUAUGUGGGCAUACGGAUUCGACUAGCAUUCACGUGGGUAGCAUUUGCAUGCGGGGAACAACCACCCGAAGAGGGAUUCGACUUCACUUUCUUUCCUAUGGUGCUAUCCUAUUAUCAGAGUAAGUCAAUAGUUGUAUCAGAGUAAGUCCAUAGUUGAUCUUCGACUAGCAGCUUUUUUCGUGGAAAUCAUUUUAGGUAAUGGCUUUCUUUGACGUUUAGCAAGGCGGAAAGAAAGAAGCAUUAAACCACUCGCGGGGCCAUGAGGCUUGUCUAGGCCCAUUUUCUUAACCACCUGCUCUACCUCUUUCGCUGUAACCUCAUUAAUGAGUGAUUCUCGAUGUGCAAAGAAGCCUAUAGCCGGAAAAAAGACACUACGAUAGCCAUGCCCACUAGAUGCAAAAAGUGUAGUGAAGCCUGUCUUUUGAUCUUGGCUUCCCUAGUAAGCAUAGUCCCACUCUCAUCCUUUCUUAUCCUCUGAUUUCGCCCUGAUUUCUUUUAGUGUUGCGUGGAAGUCGCUCCCUCCUUUAGCAAAGAGAGUAGGGACUUCCUUCUGCUUAAAGAAGACCUCUUCUCUAUAAAGGGCAGGGCUUGGUUCAACUCAUCCAAUUUGAUAAGAUCAUCUUAUGCCAGCUAAUCUUCCAAUUCCUAAUGGCACCCGCUUCCACUCUUUCACUUGUCUACUAAAAAACUACACUACACGAGAGAACUAGGUUUCAAAGCAAACCAUGAAGAGUAGAAAGAAUUCCCAUAUGUUGAGGACUUGCAGGCAGAACAAAAAGCUUGCUAAAUUCAUAUGUAUAAAGAAAGUCUAAAUUGUAGGACUGUUUGGGGAAUCAAAUAAUCUCUAUUCUAAGCCAAGUCGUACCAUCCCCUUCGAUACGAAAAACGAUUUCUUUAUUAUAUUUCUAGAGGUUAUUGUAUUAUUUGAGAGGUUAUUGUAUUAUUUGACCGUUAUUAUUAACUCUUUGCUCUAGUCCAAUCCCUUGUUGUCGUAUAGCUAGUAGGUUUGAGAAUUAUUGGCCUUAGUCUAAAAGUGGUAUUCUCUUCACAUCCAUCUUCCGGAUAGAGAGACUUUCCAAUUCCAUUCCGCACAUAGCUCACGAAUGAGACGGGCCUCAAAAGAAGUUAUGCUAGGAUUAAGUCGACUGCGAAGUGCUGCUUCCACUACUUAUACUUGGUCAAGGCUUUGGAGCUAUCCUAAUGAUAGGACCCGCUGUUUUCUCCCAGUGUAUUAAUUAUCGCUCUUUCAGCAAACUUUCAUUCUAUAGCUGGGCUUGCCAUCUUACUAUUCUCUACUUUGGUGGGGUGAUGUAAGGUUUCUACAGGUUGAAUGCACAGGUAUAUUGCUUUUUGAGUUCAUUUUCUCAUCUUCUUUCUUUUCUAUAUUGUGCUUCCUCUAAUUCUGCCUCAACAGAUGCAUUCUAUUCAUUAAGCUUCAGUUUCUAUUCCCUGAGGGCAAAAGAUUUCUAUAAUUCAGCCUCUUCAACAACGACCACAUAGUUUCCCGAGGUUCCAGUGCCACCGCUCUUCUGAUUCCCCACUUGCAUUACUAGGGCUUCUGCGAAUAGAAUCUCUGCUCCCUCAAUUUACUGUCAUUUGCCCCAUGGUGCGCUUAUGCUUGGCCAGAUAAAGAUUCUUCCCCUUGGUAUUUGUAUUCUGUCUACAUUCUCACUCCAGUUUACAUAAGGAUAACCUACUCAUUUCUGAGGCGGGGCAUUACAUACCUUUCACGUAAGAAUAAGGGGUGGGUGUACUGGUCUAAGUCCUAGAUUCAAAAGGGGUUCGCUAACCACCUGCCCUUGAAAGUAGAUCUGUCCUAUAAGGAACGUUAGCCAUACCAUGUAACUACAAGACGAGGGAACCUAAGGAAGGUCUCUUUGCGAAGAGGUUUAGGGUAAAUAUUCUUGACCGUAACCUUGAUUCAAGCCCGAGAAUCCACGCAUAAAUGAAGGGGACCAUCUGGAAAAGAAGAUAGGGGCACCUUAGAGUUAGAGGCUUGGAUAAAAGGAGCGUCCAGUAGUGGAGUGUCAUUUUCCUUGGCUUGCCCCAUGUUAUGCUUUCCAUUUCUAUAUAUAAGCAGAGGAAGCAGUUAACCCAGAACCAGCAGAAGUAGCUGCGUCGAAGGCGAAGGGCUAGUGCAAGGCAGAAUCGUAAGUCAACCAGAAGUCGAGUUAGAACCGGAAGUCCUUGUUGUCGAAGCAGAACUAGAAGUCUUCUUGGUGCAAGAGCCAGAACUCGAAGGCUAAGUCAGCACACCUGCUCUAAAGCAAUCUUGCCUACUCAUUAGUGGGAUUGGGUAUAAGAAACACUUUACAAAGGCUUGGUUAACGCGGGCUUUUGUGUGCCAUUGGGAUAUCAAUCUAGGGUUACAAUUCCAAGCAGCGACUUUUCUGUCCGUGCAUAUCGUCAAUCAUGUAACAAGUUAGGUACGCAAGAGAUGCUAAGACAGUGGCAACCUCCAACGCCAGGUAUCAGUUAAAGGUCCCGGACGCCCCCUAUUCCAAUUAAUGAAAAUGGAUGAAUAUAGUUUGAUUUGAUUCGAAAAACUAGAAUCUAGAUCGGUUUGGCUUGAAGAACUAAAUAUCGGCAGUCGAACCCCACCCAUACUAAUUACUAACUAAAAGCAGAGGAAGAGGACUAACGUAAGGCAGAGACAGAGACAUAGGGCUAACGUAAGGCGGAGACAGAGACAUAGGGCUAACGUAAGGCGGAGACAGAGGAUGAAGCGAAAUAAAAGUAACCCGACUCGUGCAUCAGCGGCGUCAAUGAGCUCCCCAAUUCCUAUCUGAGCACUCUCAUCUUUUCCUUUUCAGAAAUCCAAUGGAGUUCAACAGAAUGGAAUGAUUAAUGUCAAAGUUCAAGUCAGAGGUAAGCUGCCCAACUUAGAUAAGCGAGACCGCAGCUCAUUCAUUCCAGUAGGCUGUGUCUGUAGUGAAACUUCUUCAGCGCCUAGCUGUUCCAUAAAGGGGUAACGGGGUAACUUCACAGAGCAUUGCUUCAAAACGAAUUCAGGACUUCUUACUAACUUAGCGCUAACCUAACUCAAAACUAAGCCUCUGUCCUAUCUGUCCUAAUUUGGUAAUGUAUAGGGUACUACACUCCUUAACUCGCGCUGUUUACAAGAGUACUCAACUCCUAAACU
rnacentral:lncRNA from 1 species